UAGAGAUUUUGCUAGUAGUGCUUCUUCCACUGGGCCUUCUCUUCAUUCUCCAGAAAUUGUUCCCAAUCAUGUUGCUAGCCUCAUCCCUCUCAAACUCACCAAAGACAAUUAUCUUCUUUGGAAGGAUAUCACCACUUGGCACAAGCGUCUCGGUCAUCCCUCGCCUCAAGCUCUCGUGUCUCGUCUCUCAUCAUCUGUUAAAUGUUUUAGGUUCUAGUAGUCCUCCACCUUUGUGUUUAGAUUGUCAAUUAGGCAAGCGUACCAAACUUCCCUUUGUGAAUCAUCUUGUACUACAACUACACCUUUGCAGGUCAUCCAUUCUGAUGUUUGGGGUCCUGACCCUAUUUUAUCUAUUAGUGGAUUUAAGUAAUAUAUAUGUACUCCUUUUGACGACUGGUCAGAACAAAAUGGAAUGGCAGAAAGAAAACACCGACAUUUAAUGGCAAAGCCAACACGACGCCGUUCGCCGCCGCUCCUAUCACCACAGCAUUUCUUUCUCUCCCUUCGUUUCCUCUUCUUCUUCUCUUUCUCUUCGUCUCUGCUUCUUUUCUGUUUCGUAUAUUCUUUCCUCUGCUCUUUUGUUACCACUUCACUGUUCACUCAACUUUCUCUGAUGGUGCUUCGUUUCGAGGUUUUGGGGAGGUUCAAUUGUGCUCGUGCAGCUCAGCUGACACUCCCUCACUUUGUACGUCAGACUCCUCUUUCCAUGCCUAUUGGAACACAAGGUUAGUGUUUUGUUUUAACUGACUGACGUUUGGUUAGCAAUUAGAUGUUAUUCCUCAUAUGUAUUUCUCUGGUCUCUCUAUAUGCUAACUAGAAUGCAAUAUACAUUACUAGAUUGGUUGUUUAUGUCUAUAUCCUACUUCUUUUUCUUAGCUAAGUUUUGAUGUUCAAUAGACUUCGUUUAAUGGUUACAUUCUUGUUUAGUCGUCGAUAAGAGUAUAAGACAUAACAAUCUAUGUGCCGGCACAAGUUUUUAGAUUUGUGCCAACAUGUUCUCUGUUUGGAAAAAUGGCAUGUUCUCUGUUUCUUUGUCACAGGCUUAAACAAACUCUUCUCAUUAUGCCUUCAUUUACUUUCUUGCUUCAUACACUCUGCAGACUAAGCAACUAUUUACCCUUGUCCUAAUAAUCAAGGGAUUUGGGAACUUUCAAUUGGAAAAUCGAAAGUUGUUUUUAUGAUUUUUUCUUCGAUCUCGUCUGUAGUUAAUGUGUUAUCGAUCUGCGAAGAUUCUGCUAUCCACCUAGGUGAGGGUCACCUGGUGACGUGGCAGAACGACAGCCGCCGAUCGGUUGGUCCAGGCCAUAUGUCAGGCUGGUCAGACCUAAUUUGACUAACGUGGAAGUCCCCGUUACCGUCUUCUUAGAAACGGGUUUGAAGAAAAAAAAAUUGCAACUUUGAUUCAGAGACAGAGAGAGAGAGAGAACGGGUAAAAAGUGGGUAAAAUCCCAAUAAUAAAGAAUGACAUCUCUGGAGCUAUUGUUCUUCUUCUUCUUCUUCACCGCCCCCGUGCUCGGAUACAAGCUCCCCAAACCCGAAAAUUCAUCUCUAUGAUUGAGGUAGAAACGAGGGGGUAAAAGCCUCAGUUCAUUGAGGUAGAAAGAAGUCGAGGUACCUCCCUCUGGUACCCUCCCCAAAGCCAUAUCACCGAUCAUGGGAUCGGUUAAUCCCAUUCUCGCCUCCGCCGAAAAACCAAGAAUUUCGAAGAAGAACUGGUGCAGAUUAAAGAAUCAGCCCCCUCCGACUUAUCAUUCAAAGCAUUCGACGAUCCCACUCCCUUUGCAUGUUGAAGACCGCUUCCAAGCCUGGAGCUGAUUCCAAGCAGAAAUAUGUUCAUACUGUCACAAAAACUGAGGUACCCAUCUUAAAUUUUGAUUGCUUUUUACCUUGAAUUUGUGUUCUUUGAUUGGUUUUCCAAUUGGGUCAAUCGGGUUUCUGAGUUGCAGCAAUAAACAAGAUUAGUUGAUAUCGGAUUAGGGAUAUCUCGAAAAAGUUGGUGUAUUUGAUUUUGGUUCUGGUUCUGGACUAACAGAAUCGUGUGUAGCACGGGAAAAUCCAUACAGGUUGAAUGGUUGGUUGACUGGGUUGAGACCUAAUGCUUGUCAGCAAGGUUUCGUGGCCAUAGGAGGUUAAUAUGCAGAUAAAGAGAUACUUGAUGUGAGGUGAAAGAUCGGAUCGGAGUUGGAUGACAGGGGGUGGUUUGGAUCGAGGAUUGGUGGCCAUCGUCAGUUUCGGUGGUUCUGCGUUCCUUGCAGAACUCAAAAUGGGCCUGGACUUGGUGGUUCGAAAUGGGCCUGGACGUUCGAAGGGCCUAGGCGCUUGCCAUGGGCUUGGGUUUUUUUUGUUUUUAUUUAUUUUGUAUGUAUUUUUAUUUUUUAUGAAUAAAUAAACUACACUUUGUUAUCU